rnacentral:ncRNA from 1 species
AUCGAGCGGCUUGAUAAAUAGGCGGUUAUUACGUAGCUGCACAUCACCUUUUGCCAGCACCGUUUCCCCGUCGAGCGGAAUAUCAAGAUUUAGCCGCGCUUUUACAUCGCCGCUAAGCUGCAAUUGUUCCAGCGUCGCGCCCAACGAACUCUUCAGCGGCGUUUGCUGGAAAUAAGGGCCCACCGCCUCACCAGGCCCACUGAUAUCUGCAUCUAUUAACAAUUUGCUGCGCGAAUAAUCCGGGAUAGUCGCCCGUAAAUUUCGCCCGGUCACGCCGCCCAGUUUCACCUGCGGUGCCUUCAUCCAUAAACCGUCGUUAAUAAAAUCCAGUUCCAUAUCGAGAUUUUGUAGUGCAGGCCAGCCUGGCUGGAAAGCAAACGUGGCACCGCGCAGCGG